CGCCCCACAUGGAUUAGAUAAUGUAGGUUUUAAAUUUGAUUUAAAACUUCCUUAUCUAGAUAUAUUUGAUAUCAUCUAACUUCCUUAUCUAGGAGAGAUUGGAUCUCAUUUUAAUUACUUUCAUACCAACUAUAAAGGGCUUCUUUUUGUGCGAUAAAGAAGUGUGGAUUCACCAUGAGAACCCUAUUUUCUCAUAGUGAAUAAGGUUGUUAGGGUGCAUGAAAAAAUAAAUAUGGGGCACACGAUUUUCUUUUGGCAUGUAAGAAACUAAAGAAGUGUCUCUAGGGCGUGGGUUUCAUGUUUUGUGGCA
rnacentral:lncRNA from 1 species